CAGCAGCCGGUCACUAAGUGAAUCGAUUCGGCCUGAUUCAACCCUCUCGAUCGUGACAGAGUUGAGGCACAGCGGGGCGCGUACAAAAGAAAACGAAAAUAGGAAAGGGCUGCUUCAUUUCUAACUGACACCCCUCCUCACCCACCCAACCCCUGGUGAUGCUUGGCACAGAAUGAACUUGCAGCGCACAACACAGGCCGUUUUCCUUUCGGGGCUUCUCUCAAUGGACAGUUACCCGGUCAGGGCAGGAAGGUGAAGAUUUUACGAGCCGCAUCUACCAGCCAUAGCGAACGCGGCCUCACUUCGUGUAAAAGAAAACAACGAAAUCAAAAGACAGUAAAUUUAAAGUGAAGGGAGGUCACGUGGCGAUGAGGAGCAGACCUGAGUCUUCCCUCAGAAAACAGCUCGAAUGGAAGCUCAGGUCCCCUCUUUUAGAGCAUCACUGAACGUGUUAAAAUCUCAAGGCACGCCUACGGGGCUCCAAUUCUUCCCAUUGAACUUCUUUUUCUCUCUCUCUCCACCUCCUCCCACCCCUCCAAAUAAAUACAGGCUGUGCAUGUGGAUGUCUCCACGGAAUGGGUGACCAACAAAUGAACUGUAUUUGAUGGGAAGCAUCAUUGAUAAAUACAAAGGGUGCAACGUGUGGACGUGUGUGUGUUUUCCAGCGUAGGAUGCUACCAGGCGAAGUUCGCUUCAUUUCUGCAGCGUGUUAAUAUAGUCAAGAGAGGAAUCUCAACUGUUUCUGGAUGGACGAAGCCAGCAGCUCCCGGCCUCCUAAAGAAGGCGGCGGCAGCCACUCGCGCUGCUUUCCAGGAACUUUCCAAGAACUCAAGUCACCUGCUCUUGUUGCCAUUUCACCGCCGGCCAAUCAGCGGCGGGGUUGCCCCGCCUUUCGUUGUGACGUCAGAGUGAGGCGGGUUUCAUUGGCGGCGAUGUCCUGUCCCCUCCCCCGGAAGAAGCAGCCUUCCUCCUAGCCGCCCGUUGCUGCGGUGAAGGGAAAAGGGGAUGAGCCUGUGCUGCCGACCUAGGUAAACAAAAGGCCAUCACUGCUUGAAGUCUCUGACACUGCUCGGUUGAACGGCUUAAUUACUUAGCGGGAACUUUCCUUUUUGUCGCUGAAUCCUUCCUGAUCUACCUUCGGUUUGUAAACCGAGAUUUGCAAAGCUGUUGACUGCACAUCGCGGACCCCGCGGAUUUCGUCUCAAUUUUUGUUUUGAGCUGUCAGGUAAUUUAACUUUCCUACCGCCCCGUCUUCGUUUGCUGCAAAGUGCCAAAUUGCAUCACCUGUUUGGGGAUCUCUGCGCAAAGGUGGUCACUAAUUUACAUUUUAAAAAGACUUCCGAUGCUGAGCGAGAAUAUUAAAGAACGCGAAUAUUGCAGGGAAUUGGGGACAGAAUCGGUGAAUGAGAUGAACGUAAUUGCUCCUGGAAAGAGUGCAGUUUCGAUGGGCUGAGCCACCUAUGAGUCAGCAUUGUACAAAUUGUGCUUGCAAAAUGAAUUGUUGGGCGGCACUAUCGAGCAUUUAUUUGUGGCAUCACUUGUUGAUUGAAAACACUCAAUUCUGUAUACUAUUAAUGGUUUAUAUUUCUGCAAUAUACAAGUUACACAUUAUAUAAUAAAUACUGGUAUAUGUGAAAUUCCAUUUGUGUAACAUCCUGCUGGAUCACAAAAUAUUAAAUUCUAAUGUUUUAUA